CAGUAGCCGCGGGAAUACGUAGGUGGCGAGCGUUGUCCGGAAUUAUUGGGUGUAAAGGGAGCGCAGGCGGACAUAUAAGUCCAUCUUAAAAGUGCGGGGCUCAACCCCGUGAGGGGAUGGAAACUGUAUGCCUUGAGUGCAGGAGAGGAAAGCGGAAUUCCCAGUGUAGCGGUGAAAUGCGUAGAUAUUGGGAGGAACACCAGUGGCGAAGGCGGCUUUCUGGACUGCAACUGACGCUGAGGCUCGAAAGCCAGGGGAGCGAACGGGAUUAGAUACCCGCGUAGUCCCUGUCUCUUAUACA
rnacentral:rRNA from 1 species